rnacentral:rRNA from 1 species
AGUGAACGCUGGCGGUAGGCCUAACACAUGCAAGUCGAGCGGCAGCACAGUAAGAGCUUGCUCUUACGGGUGGCGAGUGGCGGACGGGUGAGGAAUACAUCGGAAUCUACUUUUUCGUGGGGGAUAACGUAGGGAAACUUACGCUAAUACCGCAUACGACCUACGGGUGAAAGCAGGGGAUCUUCGGACCUUGCGCGAUUGAAUGAGCCGAUGUCGGAUUAGCUAGUUGGCGGGGUAAAGGCCCACCAAGGCGACGAUCCGUAGCUGGUCUGAGAGGAUGAUCAGCCACACUGGAACUGAGACACGGUCCAGACUCCUACGGGAGGCAGCAGUGGGGAAUAUUGGACAACGGGCGCAAGCCUGAUCCAGCCAUACCGCGUGGGUGAAGAAGGCCUUCGGGUUGUAAAGCCCUUUUGUUGGGAAAGAAAAGCAGCAGGUUAAUACCCCGCUGUUCUGACGGUACCCAAAGAAUAAGCACCGGCUAACUUCGUG